rnacentral:rRNA from 4 species
AGACCCGAAACCCGGUGAUCUAGCCAUGGGCAGGUUGAAGGUUGGGUAACACUAACUGGAGGACCGAACCGACUAAUGUUGAAAAAUUAGCGGAUGACCUGUGGCUGGGGGUGAAAGGCCAAUCAAACCGGGAGAUAGCUGGUUCUCCCCGAAAGCUAUUUAGGUAGCGCCUCGUGAAUUCAUCUCCGGGGGUAGAGCACUGUUUCGGCUAGGGGGCCAUCCCGGCUUACCAACCCGAUGCAAACUGCGAAUACCGGAGAAUGUUAUCACGGGAGACACACGGCGGGUGCUAACGUCCGUCGUGAAGAGGGAAACAACCCAGACCGCCAGCUAAGGUCCCAAAGUCAUGGUUAAGUGGGAAACGAUGUGGGAAGGCCCAGACAGCCAGGAUGUUGGCUUAGAAGCAGCCAUCAUUUAAAGAAAGCGUAAUAGCUCACUGGUCGAGUCGGCCUGCGCGGAAGAUGUAACGGGGCUAAACCAUGCACCGAAGCUGCGGCAGCGAACGUAUCACCCAAGACAACUUUACGGAGUUGACGAUUGACGGAGCGAAGCGACGUCAAAGCGUUCAUUAAAGUCGAGUUGGCUUAGGGAUACGUUCGUUGGGUAGGGGAGCGUUCUGUAAGCCUGUGAAGGUGUGUCGUGAGGCAUGCUGGAGGUAUCAGAAGUGCGAAUGCUGACAUAAGUAACGAUAAAGCGGGUGAAAAGCCCGCUCGCCGGAAGACCAAGGGUUCCUGUCCAACGUUAAUCGGGGCAGGGUGAGUCGACCCCUAAGGCGAGGCCGAAAGGCGUAGUCGAUGGGAAACGGGUUAAUAUUCCCGUACUUGGUGUUACUGCGAAGGGGGGACGGAGAAGGCUAUGUUGGCCGGGCGACGGUUGUCCCGGUUUAAGCGUGUAGGUGUGUGUUCCAGGUAAAUCCGGUUCACUUUAACACUGAGGCGUGACGACGAGGCACUACGGUGCUGA